rnacentral:rRNA from 1 species
CCGGUCUGGGAUGGGCCCGCGGCCUAUCAGCUUGUUGGUGAGGUAACGGCUCACCAAGGCGACGACGGGUAGCUGGUCUGAGAGGACGACCAGCCACACUGGGACUGAGAUACGGCCCAG